GAUGAACGCUGGCGGCGUGCUUAACACAUGCAAGUCGAACGGUGAACACGGAGCUUGCUCUGUGGGAUCAGUGGCGAACGGGUGAGUAACACGUGAGCAGCCUGCCCCUGACUCUGGGAUAAGCGCUGGAAACGGCGUCUAAUACUGGAUACGAGUAGCGGCCGCAUGGUCAGUUACUGGAAAGAUUUUUUGGUUGGGGAUGGGCGCGCGGCCUAUCAGCUUGUUGGUGAGGUAAUGGCUCACCAAGGCGUAGACGGGUAGCCGGCCUGAGAGGGUGACCGGCCACACUGGGACUGAGACACGGCCCAGACUCCUACGGGAGGCAGCAGUGGGGAAUAUUGCACAAUGGGCGAAAGCCUGAUGCAGCAACGCCGCGUGAGGGAUGACGGCCUUCGGGUUGUAAACCUCUUUUAGCAGGGAAGAAGCGAAAGUGACGGUACCUGCAGAAAAAGCGCCGGCUAACUACGUGCCAGCAGCCGCCGUAACAC
rnacentral:rRNA from 1 species